rnacentral:tRNA from 1 species
GAAUUAUCCAGCCCCCAUUUAAGCUGCUAACUUAAAUUAAAAUGGUUAAAUUCCAUUUAUAAUUCU